CUCAGGUAUCUCAACACCAGGCAGUCAUUACAUUCUGAGGUUUUUAAAGUAGUUCUCCAAACGAUGGCCUUCUCCAUCCCUUGGACCUCUGACCUCCUUUGGAGUCUUAUGAUCUCUUGGCUUGAUGACUACUGGUGGCCUCCUAAAAAGUCUCUGCUCCCUCUCUUGUCCACCUCAAGUUUGUCCUCCACGUGAUAGCCAGAGUGAUCUAUCUAAAUCCAGAGCUAGCCACGUGACUGCCCUGUUUGAGCUCCUUAACCUAGAGGGUGAGCUAUGGGACUGGCAGCCCACAUUUCUUGUUACCAAAUAAAAUUCUGCGGGGACCUGGCCCCUACCCACAACCCCUUCGCUGCAACCUGGUUUUUGUCUGUUUGUCUGUCUGUCUGUUUUUGCUUCUGGCACUCCCUCUUCCUGCGUGGCUUUCUUCUCCCCCUACCACUGUACCCCAACCUGGCCGUUACCAGUUUACCUUUAAAAAUCGAAUGAGGCUUCACGUCCUCAAGGCUGCCCUCCCUAAGCCUUUCCUGACAUUUCAUGAGGGGUUGAGGAUCCCUCCUGAGUGUUUCCAUAAUGCCCUGAGCAUAUCUCUAUGAUCACCACACACAACCCACUGUUUGAGGAGUAUCUGUUCAGGUGCCUAUCUCUCCUACUAUCUACACAUUCUUGAAAAGCAGGGAUAAGACAAGGCAUACAUACAGUAGGUGCUUAAUAAACGGUGGGGUUUUUUUUUUUGAAUGGUCACUGACUUUGGUAAAUCAUGUAACAUCUUCUGGGUUUCAGCUUCCUCACUGCAAAAAGGAGAUAGGUCGACCUCUCCCGUGUUGUGCAAUUAAGUGAGAUGAUAUAAAUGGAACGCCUUGCAUGGUGCCUGGCACGUGAAACCGCGUUCCAAGAUCAGGGAGGCAAGUGUCAGAAGGAGAAAACGGCCAGCGUCUCGAGCUCAGAAGAGAACAAGCCCCUGCUAUUUCCUCCACGACAACGACGGCAACAGUUGCCCCGGCCGCGACGGAGCUGGCUUCCCCUGCCCUUGGGUACCACACGACGUCCCGCACCCCUGUCAUCUUUCUGUGGGAUUUCUCGCCACACGCUCCACGGAGGAACCGGGUUCAGGUUACAUCGCAUCUUGUCAAUUCCACCAGACUGGCUGGCGUGCUUUCUUUCCCCGAGGCAAAAACAAAGUCUAGAUGAUGGAAACAGACCCGGAAGAGUCGGCAGGCAGCAAAAGGCAAGGCCUGGGAGGGAUGCUGGCCCAACUGUGCUAGGUUGGUUCCGAGGACUCGCUUCGGGACCCCUGCCUCAAAGAGCAAAGUGUAUUCCGGGAGAAGAAGCAGACAGCUUCCCGCACGUCACUGACCUUACGGAGCACCGCAGGGCAAAGACCGAGGAGACCAAAAUCUCUGGACACCCCAUGUUCUGGCUGGCGGCACACCAUCUGGUUAGCCAAGGACCUUCUUAAGCCAGGCCCCUGAAACUGAGCGUGGAACUUCCAGCAAGCUCUGGCCGAGCCGGGACCUGGCCUGAGGCCUGCAGACCCAGCACAGCCUCACACGUAGUUGAAGACCCGAGGAAUGGAUUCCACCAACAUCCAGACGGGCAGUGAGGGGUGCCAAGAGGAAGCCACACUGCAUCUUUUGGCAAUCAGUAGACCCGGACAGAUCACUCUUCGUUGCAGGUUCAACAGGCAAGUUACGGGCUGAGGAAACGAUGUCUGCGGGCCUGCAACCAUCGGCGAGUUUGAGGACGGCCGGCCUGAGGAAGAGGCCAUCACGGCGAGCGGAGGGGACAGGUGGCGAGAACUGGGGUGUCCGGUGGCUCAGAAUGAGCCCCUCGGUCAGCCAACCUCCAUUCUGCCCCAUCUCCGUUCCUUCGAUAUGUUAAAUAAUUGUGCAAGCCGGUGCAGUUGGGCCUUUUCUCUUACGACAACCAAAAGCGUCUUCCUGAUAAGUGUUCAUAUUCUGGCUGUUGGGAGGUCCCCUUUCUGGGCUUUAUGUAGAGAAUUUGCCCCCUUUCUUGGUUCUACCUUGAAGUGUGGUGGUUAAGGAAGUCUCUGGGUUCACAUUCCACCUCUGUUUUUAUAGGCUGUGUCCAUUUAGGCAAAUCACUUCAUCUUUUGAGGUCUCAUUUCCUCAUCUGUCAAAUGGGGGCCAUAAUAGUUUUCUGACUCUGGGGACAUGGGGAUUAAAUUAAAUGAGUUAAUGUAAGAAAAGCAUUGCAAACUGCCUCACACAUCCUUGAUGUUGAAUGGUGCUAGUUGUGAUUAGAGUCUUUUUAGUUUUUUGCUUGGAUCUCUCGGCCGAGAACGCUAGAAAUUCAAUUCCAACUAAUCCAAGCAAACAAAGAAAAGUCAUUGGCAGCCGCGGGCCCCGAGAUGGGGUACCGAAUCGGGAAGAGCUGUUGAGUCAAGCCCCUGAGGAUGGGAUGGGGAGCUUCUAGAUGAGAGGUUGUGGCUUCUGGCUCCCUGUAAGAACCACCCAGAGGGUUUUUGUUUUUUUUUAAAGUCUCCGAGGCCCAGGCUGCACUCAGACCAAUUAACUAAAAAUUUCUGGGGUCGGACCCGGACAUCAGCGGAUGUAAAGCUCAGGGGAUCCCAGCGUGCGGACAAGGCUGAGAACCGCUGUGCAGAUGAUCUCUUCAUCAGACUUGCUUCUCUCUGCCGGGUUCCAUUCUACAGAAAGCUCGUUCCGCCAUGGCCUCAGAUGUCUACCCUCCUAUCAUAGUCUCGAUAGAAAAAAAAAGAAGCAAUUAACAAAGCAUCUUUCGGUAUCUGCAUUCUGCAUGUCAGAGGAUUUGUCCUGCUUCAUCCGUCUCCUGCUGGUCCUCUUUUCUUUCUUUCUAUUUAUUUAUUUAUUUAUUUAUUUAUUUAUUUUUGAGAGAGAGAAAGAUCAGGGGAGCGGCAGAGGGAGGGAGGGAGAGACAGAGAGAGAGAGAGAGAGAGAGAGAGAAAAUCUCCAGCUGUCAGCUCAGAGCCCAAUUCCAGGCUCGAACUCACACAAUGUGAGAUCAUGACCUGAGCCGACCUUAGCUGCAAACAAGAGUCCGAUGAUUAACCGACGGAGCCACCCAGGCGCCCCCUCACCCCUACCCCUGCUCGUCCUUCUUAUUCUGAUCACUGUUGCGGAGGGCUGGGGUACAAGCCACUCCAGUGACCAGGAAUCUUGAUCGACAACACACCAGACGCAUUUGGGAUGAGACAGCAAUUCCCUCAAAGAUCUAAGAGGAUCGACCAGGGGAAAAUUGUAUGUAUCAUCUAAUUAAAUAAAACUGGUUACACGUCAUCUUGGUUGAUACAAUUAAUUGUCAGCAUGUUUUGCUUCAGCCAUUUUCCCUAAUGGAUAGGAUUUGGGCUUGAUGGGGUCUUUUCUUCAGGUGUCUUAGCCACCGCAAGUGACAGGUUAUUGCAUCGCUGGGACAAUGCCUGGCUGGUCUCUUGGCUGCCUGGACGGGGAUUACAGGUUCUUCAUUCCCUGGAGCUGCUUAUUCACUGACUCUUUGUCCCGCCCACAGAUGACUGAUCUCAUAGGUCACCUCUUGAAUUCACUCCAGGAUAAUCUUCUAACAACACUGUCACCCGUAGGUACUGACUACACGGUAUUUCGAUUCAAACUGAAACCCAAAUUUCCAUUUCCUUCAACUUUUGACCUCUCUUUUCCUUUACUCACUUAUCUUCAGGUUGAGGAGCUCUUGUGGGAAGGCACUUUUUUUUUUAAUUCAAAAAAAAAUUUUUUUUAAUGUUUUAUGUAUUUUUGAGACAGGGACGGACAG